rnacentral:rRNA from 1 species
AUUGAACGCUGGCGGCAGGCCUAACACAUGCAAGUCGAGCGGAUGAAGGGAGCUUGCUCCUGGAUUCCGCGGCGGACGGGUGAGUAAUGCCUAGGAAUCUGCCUGGUAGUGGGGGAUAACGUCCGGAAACGGGCGCUAAUACCGCAUACGUCCUGCGGGAGAAAGUGGGGGAUCUUCGGACCUCUCGCUCUCAGAUGAGCCUAGGUGGGGUUAGCUAGUUGGUGGGGUAAAGGCCUACCUAGCCGGCGAUCCGUAACUGGUCUGCGAGGAUGAUCAGUCACACUGGAACUGAGACACGGUCCAGACUCCUACGGGAGGCAGCAGUGGGGAAUAUUGGACAAUGGGCGAAAGCCUGAUCCAGCCAGGCCGCGUGUGUGAAGAAGGUCUUCGGAUUGUAAAGCACUUUAAGUGGGGAGGAAGGGCAGUAAGUUAAUACCUUGCUGUUUUGACGUUACCAGCAGAAUAAGCACCGGCUAACUUCGUG